CUGUUACUGCACUCUCUCUUCCAUUUCAAUUACAGAUUCAUGUCUUCAAUUUCCACUGCCUCUUUGAGUAGCCAUAUGAAUUGAGAAACAAUUUCAUAGCUGGCUUAGUUAGGAGGCAGAAAUCAAAUCAGAUCGAAAGAUGUUUUGUCUUCGGUCGUUUCAAUCCAAGGCCCUUUUGAGGGGACAAUUUUGCUCUUUUCAUUACCAGUUGUCCUCCAAGCAGCCUUUGACAUUCCUUAAUUUAUUUCAUCUUUUAAUUUUUAUUGUAAUAAUGCCUUCGAAUAACCAGAAGGUCUCUUAACAAGACAAUACCGUCUGGUUCAGACAGAGGCGUACAGCAAUCUGGAUCCCUUCUUUUGAGAGGGUACGGAACUUCUGUUUCUGUGUUCCUUUUAUAGUUUGGAUUCGAAUAUUUAUUGAUUUCUAGUUUUGAGAUUGAGAGGGUUAAUUGAUUUUGUGAAUCCAUGAAUGCUGGAUUUAUUGAUUUAUUGUUGGGUCUAAAUUCACUAUCCUGUACAGUGAAUCCAUGAAUGCUGGAUUUAGGUUAGUGCAUACGGUUUGAUUGUUGAUUUUGUGCAUGUUUAUUGGGUGGGCCGAUGAUGAUAUCAUUCACCAAACCAUCUUUCGGGACUGAAUGACUCGAAUGAGUCUUGUUGACAGACAUUCUGCAAUUCUGAGGCCUCGAUACCCAUUUCUUGCAUCUAACUGUGUUCUUGUCAUCCUGUUCUAUUGUUUUGUUUAAAAUUUCUUUCUACUAAAACGCAGAUUGGGCGAGGGUUUUCCCUUUCCAUCAAUGGCAGUGAAUGGAUAUAAUUUACAUUUGAUGUGAAAGCUCAACAUUUUACCUUCUCACCUUGCCACAGAUAUCCACAAAUGGCGUGAAAAACCUCAAAUCUAUCGUUUUAAGUGAUGGAAGGGACAAACAGAACCUAGCUGAACUCUCCUGAUCGAAUAAAAUCUAUGGAUAUAAAAUUCAUCAUUUGCAUAAAUGGAAUUGGUGUGAAUUGUUUUUUUUUUUUGUAACAAUUGAAAUCCAGCUAUUUUUUCUCUUUUUUUCCCCUCUUAAAUCAGAGAUUGAAAAAUAAACAAACAAUAUUUUGUUUACCACAAUUGAGUUUUUGAAAUAUUAAGGAACCAAAA
rnacentral:lncRNA from 1 species